GACGUAGGGCACGAGCGUUGUCCGGAUUUAUUGGGCGUAAAGAGCUCGUAGGCGGCUCGUUGCGUCGGCUGUGAAAACCCGCAGCUCAACUGUGGGCUUGCAGCUGAUACGGGCGGGCUGGAGUUCGGUAGGGGAGACUGGAAUUCCUGGUGUAGCGGUGAAAUGCGCAGAUAUCAGGAGGAACACCGGUGGCGAAGGCGGGUCUCUGGGCCGAUACUGACGCUGAGGAGCGAAAGCGUGGGGAGCGAACAGG
rnacentral:rRNA from 1 species